rnacentral:rRNA from 1 species
CCUACGGGAGGCAGCAGUGGGGAAUCUUGCACAAUGGAGGAAACUCUGAUGCAGCGAUGCCGCGUGAGUGAAGAAGGCCUUUGGGUUGUAAAGCUCUUUUGUAGGGGAAGAUAAUGACUGUACCCUAAGAAUAAGGUCCGGCUAACUUCGUGCCAGCAGCCGCGGUAAUACGAAGGGACCUAGCGUAGUUCGGAAUUACUGGGCGUAAAGCGCGCGUAGGCCGUUGAGUUAGUUAAUUGUGAAAUCCCAAAGCUUAACUUUGGAACUGCAAUUAAAACUGCUCGACUAGAGUUUGAUAGAGGAAAGCGGAAUACAUAGUGUAGAGGUGAAAUUCGUAGAUAUUAUGUAGAACACCAGUUGCGAAGGCGGCUUUCUGGAUCAACACUGACGCUGAGGCGCGAAAGUAUGGGUAGCAAAGAGGAUUAGAUACCCUCGUAGUCCAUACCAUAAACGAUGAUUGCUAGAUGUUGGAAAUUUAUUUUCAGUAUCGCAGCUAACGCAUUAAGCAAUCCGCCUGGGGAGUACGACCGCAAGGUUUAAAACNGAAAGAUGAACGGNUGAGAGUGCGAGACGACACGAGGAGAGG